CCUUCCUUCCUCUCUCUCUCCCUCUCUCUUUCUUUCUAUUCUUGUAAAGAGGCAACAGGUUUUGGACCAACAGACUAUGUGUCUUGAAGAAAGACAGUCCUCAGUCCCUCUCCCCCAAGCCCCCUGGGUUGUGAGAAGAAAAAUGCAGAAGACAGAUCUGGGAAGGCGAAGAGCAGGUGGCACAUGAGCCCUGCUUCCUGGCCUGUCCUGGGAAGUUAGGUCCUCAGAGCGUGACAGCUGUUGGUUCUCGUAGGCAGUCAGGACCAUCUUGCAGGAACGUGCUCAGGACUCAAGCGUGCAGAGAACCUGAUGGACCCAGAGGGGCCGUGGGACAGGGAGAACCUUUGAAGACGGAUAUGAGCUGACCUUGUGCCCACUGCCCCCACUUGGUACUGCAUGAGGAUGUAAGGAGAACCGCAGAGGCCCCGGUGGAAGCUCAGGGUUGGAAAGUAAGAUGGUGAGAGAGAACGUUAGUUUUGCUUCUCGAACGCCGCAAAUGCAAGAGAAGCAAUAUUAACAGAAACUUACCAGAUGAGAACAAGUUACUGCUUGGGCCGGGGGAUGUAGGUCAUCAGCUCAGCAGAGAUGGUGUAUGGAAAGUAUCAUCAUGGAGCGGGGGCAUCAUGGUUAAACGUCUGACUCUUGAUCUCAGCUCAGGUCUUGAUCUCAGGGUCAUGAGUUCAGGCCCGUCGCUGGGUUCCCUGCUGGGCGUGGAGCCUACUUAAAAGAAAAAUUCAAGUAUCAUGGGUUGAUUAAUACCAGAGUGCUGGUAAUUUUUUGUUUUUAUGUUCUGUCUGGAUGGAAAUCUUUCAAUUUUGGCACUGAAGCAGAAGAAACAGAACCAUGCCAUUCAUAAUUUCUGUAGGUAAUUUUGUGGGGGUUUUUGAUGGCUCCAGUGUGUUUCUGUCUGUUAUGACUUUCUUCCCUUUGGGAAAUUCUGAGGGAAGGCACCCUUUCACUCUACCCCUAAAUUAGUUUGGUGCUGUGCUUAACGUGGGGACAGUUUGGUCAUCAUGAGACCCCAGGAGGGUAUAGCAGGUGAGUGAGUCUUCCCUCACUUUGUUCUCAAAUACCUGAGUGGCUGGGUGGGUUGACCGUAAAGGCUGCAGGCGACCACUCCUACAUAUAGAAGUGACUGGCUGGACUGAGCAAAGUUCCACUGCACUGAGGAAAUUUGAGACCGCCUUCCAGGAAGACGGAAGCACAUUCAUUGGCUAAGUAAAUACCUUGGUGCUGCACUGCCCUUGGUUUUCCAGAGUUUACCUUCUUGGACCCAAUCUUCCAUAAGAUGGUUGGAAUAUGGAGAAGGAGAAAACCCCAGACCCUGGCUGUAGCCUGUCUGGAUUCUGCCUCCCAGUUCUCCCAGGCAGACUCCCCACGCAAAUAACAGAAUGCUGGAUCCAGAGGACUGUGUCUGUGUGUGUGUGUACACGUGUGUGUGAGCGUGGCAGGCCAGGGAGAAGAAGUUGGAGGGCGUGACAGGAAGGCGAGCAGCGGGGCUGGCUCCAACUUUGUUGACUUAGUGAGUCUGGCCGCAAAGCGAAGGUCUUUGGAAAGAACGGCCUCUCCGCUUCUGGCAGUUUCUACUGAGCUGGUUCCAGGACUGAGCUAGAUCCUGCAGGUGUUUAUGGGCAGGAGGACAGUUCAGUUGGGUUCCAGGGCACCAAGAUUUUCAGAAUGCCGCGAGGGUCUGUACUUGACAAUGGCCCAUGGAGUAAACAUAGCCAUGGUUUCUGAAGAAGAUCCUUCCCUCCACCUUACAGGGUUUUUUUUGGUCCUCCCCUUGGAGUCCAGAGAGAGAACGUUCCCCAGGAGGCACGUUUCCAAUUCUGACCAUUGCAAGCGCUUGCCAAGCUGGAGAAAGUAAAAAGGAGAAAAAAAAUCACAACUUCAUUAAUGCAGAAUCGUGGAGUCGAAAGGAGUUUGAGUGGUAUAUUCGCUUCUCGUCUCUCUGACUUUACCUUCUGCGUUUGGACUGCAAAGGGGCUUCUCUUGUUCUUGCAAACUACAGUAUUGUGACCUAGCUCUGGCCUGUUAGAAUCUACCUCUUGCACUUGACCCAAGAAGGACCAGUCACAGUCCCUCUCGGAUUUUGACACGUGGAUGCUAAGAGAAAGAAACUUUGUUUUCCCAUGAAGUGUGGUGAGCUAGGAUGCUUUAGGCUUAAGGCUGCCGACGGUCCUCCUUCCCUCCAUGGGGAAAAUGCUGUCUGCGGUACAAGCCUGGGCAUAUGGAGCUAAGGAAAGACAGGCAGAGAUGAGGCGGAGAGGCUGGUGUCUUCACUCCAGCCAUUUGAGUGCCUGUCUGCACUGGAUAUCUUUCCACACCUACGAUGAAAAAACUGUAGUCCACCUGGAGAGGCCAGAGAACUUGCACCUGAGAGGUGAGCGCUGAGCGUUCUAGGAAGAGGGAGCUGAGGGUUGGUGCUAGAGGAAAAUAUCAGUUGUCAGAUUCAAAUGCCUCAGAAGUUUGAGAUGAUGGUCAGGGUGGAGCUAGGUGAGAGUUUGUGGAUGGGAGUAUGAGAAGCAAGUCCGGAAGUGCAGAGCCAGAAAGAUGAAAGAACCGAUUGCAUUCAUAUGGGCACAAGGUGGCCUUGAGCCACGCUUGCAGUGGGAAUGGUGAGGAAGGAAGCCGUGAUCGUAAGGAGAAUUGCAAAGGAGGAAUCGGCAGGGCUUGGUGUCUGAUUAGCAGACUGGAUGAAUCCACUCGGGUUGCCAUAACAAAAUCCUACAGACUGGGCUGCUUAAACCACAAAUCCAGCAACAGACGUCCAAGAUCAAGGUGCCAGUAGUCUUGGUUCCUGGUAAAGCCUCUCUCCUCCGCUUGAAGAUGGUGCCUUCUUGCUAUGUGCUCACUUGGCCUUUUCUUUGGGCACGUGUGGAGGCAGAGAGCGAGCCCUGGUGUCUCUUCCUCUUCUUAGAAGGACACCAGUCCUACCAGAUCAGGGCCAAACCCUCAUUUAACUUUAGUUACCCCUUAAAGGUCCUGUCUCCAGAUACAAUUACACUGGGUGUUAGGGCUUCCACAUAUGAAUUUUG